AACGCACAUUGCGCCUCUAGUAACUUGGAGGCAUGCCUGUCUGAGCGUCAUUUAAAACCAUAAACCCCACCGGGUUUGUAUUGGGCCAUCGCCCUUGGGCGUGACCUCAAAGUCAUCGGUCUUAAACGCGGACGAGUUCCAUUAGGACAGACCGUGUCUGGACUUUAAACUUCUGACUUGACCUCAGAUCAGGUAGGACUACCGCCUGAACUUAA
rnacentral:misc_RNA from 1 species